rnacentral:rRNA from 1 species
UCGAGCGGUAACAGAGAGUAGCUUGCUACUCUGCUGACGAGCGGCGGACGGGUGAGUAAUGCUUGGGAAUGUACCUUAUGGUGGGGGACAACAGUUGGAAACGACUGCUAAUACCGCAUAAUGUCUUCGGACCAAAGCGGGGGACCUUCGGGCCUCGCGCCAUAAGAUCAGCCCAAGUGGGAUUAGCUAGUUGGUGAGGUAAUGGCUCACCAAGGCGACGAUCCCUAGCUGGUUUGAGAGGAUGAUCAGCCACACUGGGACUGAGACACGGCCCAGACUCCUACGGGAGGCAGCAGUGGGGAAUAUUGCACAAUGGGCGCAAGCCUGAUGCAGCCAUGCCGCGUGUGUGAAGAAGGCCUUCGGGUUGUAAAGCACUUUCAGUAAGGAGGAAAGGUUGGAUGUUAAUAGCAUUCAGCUGUGACGUUACUUACAGAAGAAGCACCGGCUAACUCCGUGCCAGCAGCCGCGGUAAUACGGAGGGUGCGAGCGUUAAUCGGAAUUACUGGGCGUAAAGCGUACGCAGGCGGUUUGUUAAGCGAGAUGUGAAAGCCCCGGGCUCAACCUGGGAACUGCAUUUCGAACUGGCAAACUAGAGUGUGAUAGAGGGUGGUAGAAUUUCAGGUGUAGCGGUGAAAUGCGUAGAGAUCUGAAGGAAUACCGAUGGCGAAGGCAGCCACCUGGGUCAACACUGACGCUCAUGUACGAAAGCGUGGGGAGCAAACAGGAUUA